AUUGAACGCUGGCGGCAUGCCUUACACAUGCAAGUCGAACGGUAGAGGGGGGCAACCCCUUCGAGAGUGGCGAACGGGUGAGUAAUGCAUCGGAACGUGCCCAGUCGUGGGGGAUAGCCCGGGGAAACCCGGAUUAAUACCGCAUACGACCUGAGGGUGAAAGCGGGGGACUCGCAAGGGCCUCGCGCGAUUGGAGCGGCCGAUGUCGGAUUAGGUCGUUGGUGGGGUAAAGGCCUACCAAGCCUGCGAUCCGUAGCUGGUCUGAUAGGACGACCAGCCAGGCUGGGGCUGAGAAACGGCGCAGACUCCUACGGGAGGCAGCAGUGGGGAAUUUUGGACAAUGGGGGCAACCCUGAGCCAGCCAUGCCGCGUGCGGUAAGAAGGCCUUCGGGUUGUAAACCGCUUUUGUCAGGGAAGAAAUGUCCUGGGCUAAUACCCUGGGGGGAUGACGGUACCUGAAGAAUAAGCACCGGCUAACGACGUGCCAGCAGCCGCCGUAA
rnacentral:rRNA from 1 species